rnacentral:rRNA from 1 species
GACGAACCGUGCAAACGUUGUUCGGAAUCACUGGGCUUAAAGGGCGCGUAGGCGGGCCAGCCAGCCUGUGGUGAAAGCCUCCAGCUUAACUGGAGAAGUGCCGUGGAUACUGCUGGCCUCGAGGAGGAUAGGGGCAUCUGGAACGGUCGGUGGAGCGGUGAAAUGCGUUGAUAUCGACCGGAACUCCGGUGGCGAAGGCGAGGUGCUGGGUCCUUUCUGACGCUGAUGCGCGAAAGCUAGGGGAGCAAACGGG